GGUUCAGUGGUCUAAUGGUUAUGAUUUCUGUCUCACAUUCUACACUAGUACUAGUUUAGCAAGGGCACAGAAGGUUCUGAGUUCGAUCCUCAGCUGAACCA